rnacentral:rRNA from 1 species
CACGCGGUAAACGAUGAAUGCUAGGUGUAGGGGGUAUCGACCCCUCCUGUGCCGGAGUAAACACAAUAAGCAUUCCGCCUGGGGAGUACGGCCGCAAGGUUGAAACUCAAAGGAAUUGACGGGGGCCCGCACAAGCAGCGGAGCAUGUUGUUUAAUUCGAUGCAACGCGAAGAACCUUACCAGGUCUUGACAUUGAUGUAAACCUGUAGAGAUACGGGGUGCCUUCGGGCAACAGAAAACAGGUGG